rnacentral:sRNA from 1 species
UAGAAAGCCGAAUCCAGCUCAGGAGCGGGGGAACCAAGUUUCUGGGGUGCAUGUUUUCUUCACGAGGCGGUAAAGGCCUCUCGAGGGAACAAUGGGUAAUCUCUUUGCCCUAACCCGUCAGCUAACCUCGUAGGCGAAUGGAGAGAGGA